UGGGCUAUUAGCUCAGAUGGUUAGAGCACACCCCUGAUAAGGGUGAGGUCCCUGGUUCAAGUCCAGGAUAGCCCAA
rnacentral:tRNA from 1 species